rnacentral:rRNA from 1 species
GACGAACGCUGGCGGCGUGCCUAAUACAUGCAAGUAGAACGCUGAAGGAGGAGCUUGCUCUUCUGGAUGAGUUGCGAACGGGUGAGUAACGCGUAGGUAGCCUGCCUGGUAGCGGGGGAUAACUAUUGGAAACGAUAGCUAAUACCGCAUAACAGUAGAUAUCGCAUGAUAGCUGCUUGAAAGGUGCAAUUGCACCACUACCAGAUGGACCUGCGUUGUAUUAGCUAGUUGGUGAGGUAACGGCUCACCAAGGCAACGAUACAUAGCCGACCUGAGAGGGUGAUCGGCCACACUGGGACUGAGACACGGCCCAGACUCCUACGGGAGGCAGCAGUAGGGAAUCUUCGGCAAUGGACGGAAGUCUGACCGAGCAACGCCGCGUGAGUGAAGAAGGUUUUCGGAUCGUAAAGCUCUGUUGUAAGAGAAGAACGAGUGUGAGAGUGGAAAGUUCACAC